GUAACUAAGGCACAGAGAGGCUGAGCAGCGUGCCCAUGGCUGGGGUCGGCAGGACUCUCCUCUGGGUUUUUGGGCAGAUGAAAUGAUAUAAUGGAUGGGAAAUGGCUUUGUGAACUGUCCUUCCGACUGUUUCAGCCGGCAGUGAAUGGAGUUUCGCUCUUGUUGCCCAGGCUGGAGUGCAAUGGCAUGAUCUCGGCUCACUGCAACCUCUGCCUCACAGGUUCAAGCGAUUCUCCUGCCUCAGCCUCACAAGUAUCUGGGAUUAUAGGUUUCCACCACCAUGCCCGGCUAGUUUUUUUAUUUUUAUUUUUUUUUUUGUAUUUUUAGUAGAGACGGGGUUUCACCGUGUUGGCCAGGCUGGUCUUGAACUCCUGGCCUCAAAUGAUCCACCCACCUCAGCCUCCCAAAGUGCUGGGAUUACAAGCGUAAGCCACUGCACCCAACCCCAGGCUGAAUAUUAAUGGCACAUAACUUUCUGGUUCCCCCAUUCUAUGCUAUUUGGGUGGGGCUUAGCUCACCUCAGCCUCAAGACUGGCCAGUCAGACUAUUCCAUCUCCUUGGCCACAGUGAUUGGUUCAGGGGCAGGCACAUUACCCAAACUGGACCUUUCUGCAGGAGCUAUCAGGAAAGAUAGCUUUCUCUGAGGUGCAAGCUGUGUGGAUGAUGCAAGUGCUAGCAGCUUGAAGCCAUUGUGGAGAAACUGUCUGCAGAAGAGGCCAACUGCAGAAAGAAGCAGAGCUGAGAGAUGUCACUUCGGACCAUGUCAAUUCAAGAACAUUGAGCUCCUGGUUUGAGUUGUAGAAGCUGUAGGCUUCUCUUUAAUACUCCCUCCCUCCGCAGUAUGUUUUUUGUUUUGUUUUGUUUUGUUUUUGUUUUGAGACGGAGUUCUGGUCGUGUCACCCAGGCUGGAGUGCAGUGGCGUAAUCUUGCGCAGCCUCCACCUUCUGGGUUCAAGCGAUUCUCCUGCCUCAGCCUCCGAAGUAGCUGGGAUUACAGGCGCACGACACCACGCCUGACUAAUUUUUGUAAUUUUAGUAGAGAUGGGUUUUCACCAUUUUGGACAAGCUAGUCUCAAACUCCUGACCUCAGGUGAUCCGCCCGCCUCUGACUACCAAAGUGCUGGGACUACAGGCAUGAGCCACCAUGCCUGGCCUGCAGUAUGGUUUUGUUUUUCGUUUUGUGUUUUUUUUUUUUUUUUUUUUUGAGACAGAGUUCCGCUCUGUUGUCAGGCUGGAGUGCAGUGGCAUGAUCUCGGCUCACUGCAACCUCUGCUUCUCGGGUUCAAGUAGUUAUCCUGCCUCAGCCUCCCGAGUACCUGGGAUUACAGGCAUGUGCCACCACAUCCAGCUAAUUUUUGUAUUUUUUAAUAGAGACAAGGUUUCACCAUGUUAGCCGGACUGGUCUUGAACUCCUGACCUCAGGUAAUCCACCUGCCUCAGCCUCCCAAAGUGCUAGGAUUACAGGUGUGAGCCACUGCACCUGGCCCAGAGCUGUUUUAUUUUUAUUAAAUGCUGCAUAGAAUCAAUUGUCGAAAUAUGUUUGGGGCCAAGUGCGGUGGCUCAUAUUUGUAAUCCCAGCACUUUGGGAGGCCAAGGUGGGCAGAUCACUUGAGUGUCAGGAGUUUGAGACCAGCCUGGCCAACGUGCAAAACCCCAUGUCUACUAAAAAUACAAAAAUUAGCUGGGCGUGGUGGCACUCGCCUGUAGUCCCAGCUACUCAGGAGGCUGAGGCACCAGAAUCACUUGGACCCGAGAGGCAGAGGUUGCAGUUAGCAGAGACCGAGCCACUGCACUCCAGCCUGGGCAGCAGAGUGAGACUGUGCCUCAAAAAAUAAAAUAAAAUAAAAUAAAAUAAAAUAAAAUAAAAUUAAAAUAAAAUAAAAUAAAAUAAAAUAAAAUAAAAUAAAAGUCAUAUAUUAUUAGACCAGUUUCAUUUAGAUUGACAUAUAUGUUGUUUGCAAGCUUUUGGUAUUACAAACAAUGUUGCAAAUAUUACCAUCAUACAUAUAUCAUUUUGUGGGAGAAUAUCUGUAAGCUAAAUUACUAGAAAUAAACUUGCUGUUAAAAGGUACGUUUAAAAUUUUGAUAGAUUUUGUCAAAUUACCUUACACAGAGGUUAUGUGAUUUUGUGCUGUCUUCAGCAAUGUGUGAAGGUGCACAUUUUUCCACACUCUUGGCUAACACGUGUUAUUAGUUUUUCCAUCUUUGCCAAUCUGAUGGGUGAAUAAAUAGUAACUCAUUGGAAUUUAAAUUUACACAGAGGAACUUUUAAACUUACAAAGCUUUAGGGAUGUGUACUGCAUGGUGAGAUUGCAGAACUUAGAGCAUUUGAGCCAUCUCUUGCCUCCAUUUCUUUGGAAAGCAGUUAAUAUAGUCCUUUUCCUUAAGUAUUAGAAUGAUCUCUGAAGUUUGAGACCUUGCGACCAUAACAGGUUCCCUGGUCUGAGUCAUUCUGAAAGCAAUCACAGUUAUGGUACAGCUACUAUUUGUCACAUUCUCUAUAGGUGCCAUCAUUUAUGUAAUCUCAUUCAUAUUGAAUACUCCAAACAGACUUACGCAGUAGGUAUUAUGACCUCCAUGUCAGCGGAAGAAACUUGCCCAACAUCAUAGAGCUAGUAAGAGGCAGAGGCUAUUCAACUUGACUUGGAGCCUGCACUUUCCCCAAGACUUUAUCAUUCUAAUUGUAGACAGGACAUAAUAUAUGCAACCGUAACAAAUUCCUGAUGCUCAUGCAGUUCAUUCUAUCCACAGUCACAUUUAAAGAAGAAAUAAGAAUUCC
rnacentral:lncRNA from 1 species